rnacentral:lncRNA from 1 species
CCAUGGUUGCUCCGUAACUUUCCCUUAAAACUGGCUUUCCUGAGAGUGGGAUGGCAAGUGUGCUUUCUGGAAAGGGCUGUUACCACCACGAAAACCUUCCAGACCUCUGCCUUGAGAAAGAGACCACGAAAGGAAGACUUGAGGUUUUUACAUGACUCCAAAGACGCCCUUUACAAACGGUUGAGACGCAUUCAUCUACCGAGGGAAAUGGAUUAAAAAAAAAAAAAAAAUCGAGGGUGGCAAUGCCUGUGGUAAGUACUGGAAAAGCACAGAGGAAGGCACAUGGCAAAGGACGAUUAACUUCCUUGAGAAGAUUUGGUUUAUUUUCUCCUCCUGGAAGAAAAUGGCAGUAAAGCCGUCACCUCUCUUCCCUUCCAGCUCAUGGAGUUCCCAAAUAAAGAACCGGUCUGCUGGGCCACUGAAGAAACAAGGAGGAGACAGAAUCCUUUCUCCUGCUCGGCUCCUGGCUUCAGAUUCUUGGCUUGUGGGAGUGGAAUGCUGGCCAGAGCAGUCACUGGUUGGGGGUGGGGGGCUCUUCUGUCCAUCCAUCCACAUACAGGAUCCGAAAUCCCCACAGCUCAGGGGGAGGGGCUGAGGGCAGAUUGCUGGGGGCUGCGAGCCCGCUGAGUUCCAGGGGCAAAAGGGGAGAGAAGGCACCUGCCUUUGGUGAGUGCUGUGCCUGGCACCGUGCUGUGUGUCACAGCGCCUUGAACCUUGGCUCAGAAAUGCAAGUUAGAUACGCUUCACAUUUUACAGAUGAAGGAACUGAGACUCCGAAAAGCUAAGAGAUUUGCUCCAAUUCCAGCAGUCCUGCUGGGAUUUGAACCCAGGUCAGUAUGACUCCAAAACCCAGGUUCUAUCUCCUCCUACAAAGAGCAUGUCCUUGCUCACCCUACAGUCAUUACUGGUCGAGGUGACCUUAGUUUCCCACAAAAAGGCUAGAAAAUACGCUUAUUCAUCUUUAGCCUUAUGCUUUCAGACUCAUUCUUAAAAACCUUCUUUAGGUAAGUUAAGGACAAGAGGCAUGCGUUUUCAAAACACUACUAUCUUAGCGGUUUAUAAAAUGCUGUCACACAAUCAUCUCUUUGACACCUCAUCUCCCCCCUCGAUUUACAAGUGAAGAAGGUGAGGCUCAAGGUGGUUAAGUGACUUGCCCAAGGGAGAGAUUUGUUCAGUCAGAAAGAUGGGCCUGAUCCUUGUCUACUUUGCGUUCUGACUCGAAGAGGCGCAAGACAUAGGCUCAAGCGGGAGAUCUCACUAAAUUUCGUGUCAGAUCCUCCUCUUGGUAAUUUAACCCUGUCAUUCCUAGUUGUAUCCCUUUGGAAAACCACCACCAAGCCUUUCUCACUUGAGAUUUUUAUGCUAAAACGAUUCCCUGUACAAACCGCCUCAUUCUUUCCACGACCAACCAACCAACCAACUCAGCAAGGCUCCCCGAAGUGUGCACUGCACGUCUGGCCCUCGCCUCAUCCUCCAGGCGGCUCUAGCUGCCCUCCCAGUUAGAAUUUAUGCAGAUGUUCACAGGAUAGGCGGGGGCAAGGAAGGAGGUGGCUCUCUCGGUUGUCUGUUUAUCUCGUGAAUGUGCGGGCUCUCCUAGACCCUUUGUCUGCGAGGCCAGGUCCCAGUUAGGGUGCAGGGCUCCCCCAAAGGGAAGGACUAUUUCAGUUUUGUAAACACCGCCCUCCAAAAACCACUUGACAUAAAUGUUUCAUGGCUCGCCUCCGCGAGGCCGCGGCUGGAACACUCAGCUGUGAGGCUGUUUAUAUUUGUGGAACUCUCUUGAACAUUUGCUGCGGGUUUCAAACAGCUGCUCUGCUGAAGCUCUGGGGAUAGGAAGAUCAUGAAUAUUCAGGUGAAGCCACCAGAAUGAACAGCCGUUAAUAGAAUAAAUGCCUAAACAGUUGUGUAAGGCUUAUUAAGACCUAUUGGGGCUGAGAUAAUAAAUUCCCACUCUGACAUGUUGCAACUACUGUCGCUUAAACACUUUGGACCACCUCUUCCGAACUGGAGGAAAAAAUGAUGUUAGUUCUCCGCGCAAACACAAAGAAACACCUGGAAGCCUUGGCAAGGGAAUGAGAUUUGGCAGAGAUCUUUCCGUGGACCGGUGCAUCCUCAGGAAAACGAUGUGUCGUUCAUUGUUCGCGCUGUCAAGGUUACCUCAGUCGAUUACAGGCUGGAGUGGGCAUGGCUCUGGCACCCGACAGAAUCAGUCCCGACUCCAUCAGACUGCCGGACAUCAGCUGAGAGCCGACACCAACAUCUGGGGCACUGAACCCAGCCCUCUGCCCCCUCCCCCACCUCAGUACCCGUGGCCUGGACCGUCUCCCUUCUCAGCCCCUUCCCAUGUCGUAUCGGAGGGACCAAAUAUACACUAACCUUGGGUUCUUUUCUCUUCUGCUCCGCCAAUCCAUAGCAGGGAACAGAGGGCAAAGUUUGCCAAUGCAGACGUGACCUUUCCAAGGGGCAAUACCUAGUUCAUUAAAAAGUCCAUUGCAACGACCUACUGUUUAGCACAGGGAAAUUUACUUAAUAUUUUGUAAUAACCUAUAAGGGAAAAGGGUCGGAAAAAGACCAUGUAUAACCGAUGUACUUUGCUGUACACCUGAAAUUAACACAGCACUGUAAAUCGAGUAUACUUUAAAUAAACCAAAAUCCAUUGCUCAC